CCGCUAGGAUCGUUUACUUUGAGGAAAUUAGAGUGUUCAAAGCAGGCGUAACUCGCCUCCGAAUACGUUAGCAUGGGAUAAUGGAAUACGACUUCGGUCUUGUUUCGUUGGUUUCGCUUGGCUGAAGUAAUGAUUGAUAGGGACAGUUGGGGGCAUUAGUAUUUAGUUGUCAGAGGUGAAAUUCUAGGAUUUACUAAAGACUGACCAAUGCGAAAGCAUUUGCCAAGGAUGUUUUCAUUAAUCAAGAACGAAAGUAGGGGGAUCGAAGACGAUCAGAUACCGUCGUAGUCUCUACCGUAAACUAUGCCGACCAGGGAUCCGGAGAGUUUGCAUGGAUGACUCCCCGGGCACCUUGUGAGAAAUCAUAAGUGUUUGGGUUUUGGGGGGAGUAUGGUCGCAAGGCUGAAACUUAAAGGAAUUGACGGAAGGGCACCACCAGGAGUGGAACCUGCGGCUUAAUUUGACUCAACACGGGGAAACUUACGAGGUCAGGACACUGUGAGGAUUGACAGAUUGAAAGCUCUUUCUUGA
rnacentral:rRNA from 1 species